rnacentral:rRNA from 1 species
CUGCGAGUUCGCGGGAGAGUAAGUUAUUGCCAGGGUUUUUAUUUUAUAUUUUAAAUAUUGAGCUCGUUUUUUAAAUGUUCAUGUUUUUGAGUGCUUUAUUCAAAUAAUGUAAAAAAUAAAAUAGAUAUUGACAUGGAUUGAACAAAGAUAUAUAUUAUUCUAUGUUGCAUAAACAAAUUGGCAAAAUAGAGACGGAAGAUAAAAAUAUGGUCAAAGUAAUAAGAGUCUAUGGUGAAUGCCUAGGA